GUAACACGUGGACAAUCUAACCUUAAGAGGGGCAUAUCCUCGGGAAACUGAGGUUAAUACCCCAUAGAUGACAGAUUCUGAAAUGACUGUCAUUGAAAUGGAAUCAGCAUUAUGCCUGUAGGUUCCGCUUAAGGAUGGGUCUGCGGUGGAUUAGGUAGAUGGUGGGGUAACUGCCCACCAUGCCGACGAUCCGUACCUGCUAUGGGAGUAGGAGCAGGGAGAUGGAUACUGAGACAAGGAUCCAGGCUCUACGGAGCGCAGCAGGCGCGAAACCUCCACAAUGUGCGAAAGCAUGAUGGGGGGACCCUAAGUGUCUUCCUACAAGGGAGACUUUUGCAGUAUGUAAAAAGUACUGCGAAUAAGGGCUGGGUAAGACUGGUGCCAGCCUCCGCGGUAACACCAGCAGCUCAAGUGGUAGUCACGAUUAUUGGGCUUGAAGCGUCCGUAGUCGGUUUAGUAAGUUCUCUGUGAAAUCCUGUGACCUAAUCAUAGGGCGUGCAGAGAAUACUACUAGGCUAGGGGUCGGGAGGGGGUAGGGGUAUUCCUAGGGUAGCGGUGAAAUGCUAUAAUCCUAGGAGGACCACCGAUAGCGAAGGCACCUACCUAGAACGAGCCCGACGAUAAGGGGCGAAAGCUAGGGGAGCAAAUCGGAUUAGAUACCCGAGUAGUCCUAGCUGUAAACGAUGUAUGCUGAGUGUUGCCAGAACUUCGGGUUCCGGCAGUGCUGAAGGGAAACCGUUAAGCCUACCGC
rnacentral:rRNA from 1 species